CCUGGCGGCGUGCCUACACAUGCAAGUCGAGCGAACCUUCGGGGUGAGCGGCGGACGGGUGAGUAACGCGUGGGUAACCUGCCCUGUACACACGGAUAACAUACCGAAAGGUAUGCUAAUACGGGAUAAAAUAUGAGAGUCGCAUGGCUUUUGUAUCAAAGCUCCGGCGGUACAGGAUGGACCCGCGUCUGAUUAGCUAGUUGGUAAGGUAACGGCUUACCAAGGCAACGAUCAGUAGCCGACCUGAGAGGGUGAUCGGCCACAUUGGAACUGAGACACGGUCCAAACUCCUACGGGAGGCAGCAGUGGGGAAUAUUGCACAAUGGGCGAAAGCCUGAUGCAGCAACGCCGCGUGAGCGAUGAAGGCCUUCGGGUCGUAAAGCUCUGUCCUCAAGGAAGAUAAUGACGGUACUUGAGGAGGAAGCCCCGGCUAACUACGUGCCAGCAGCCGCGGUAAUACGUAGGGGGCUAGCGUUAUCCGGAAUUACUGGGCGUAAAGGGUGCGUAGGCGGUCUUUCAAGCCAGAAGUGAAAGGCUACGGCUCAACCGUAGUAAGCUUUUGGAACUGUAGGACUUGAGUGCAGGAGAGGAGAGUGGAAUUCCUAGUGUAGCGGUGAAAUGCGUAGAUAUUAGGAGGAACACCAGUAGCGAAGGCGGCUCUCUGGACUGUAACUGACGCUGAGGCACGAAAGCGUGGGGAGCAAACAGGAUUAGAUACCCUGGUAGUCCACGCCGUAAACGAUGAGUACUAGGUUGUCGGGGGGUUACCCCCUCGGUGCCGCA
rnacentral:rRNA from 1 species